UACGUAGGUCCCGAGCGUUAUCCGGAUUUAUUGGGCGUAAAGCGAGCGCAGGCGGUUAGAUAAGUUUGAAGUGAAAGGCUGUGGCUUAUCCAUAGUAUGCUUUGGAAACUGUUUAACUUGAGUGCAGAAGGGGAGAGUGGAAUUCCAUGUGUAGCGGUGAAAUUCGUAGAUAUAUGGAGGAACACCGGUGGCGAAAGCGGCUCUCUGGUCUGUACCUGACGCUGCGGCUCGAAAGCGUGGGGAGCAAACAGG
rnacentral:rRNA from 1 species